rnacentral:rRNA from 1 species
UUCCUACGGGAGGCAGCAGUGAGGAAUAUUGGUCAAUGGGCGGGAGCCUGAACCAGCCAAGUCGCGUGAGGGAAGACGGUCCUACGGAUUGUAAACCUCUUUUGCCGGGGAGCAACGGGGUCCUUGCGAGGGCCAGAUGAGAGUACCCGGAGAAAAAGCAUCGGCUAACUCCGUGCCAGCAGCAGCGGUAAUACGGAGGAUGCGAGCGUUAUCCGGAUUUAUUGGGUUUAAAGGGAGCGUAGGCGGGCUGUUAAGUCAGCGGUUAAAUGUCGGGGCUCAAGC